rnacentral:rRNA from 1 species
GAUGAACGCUGGCGGCGUGCCUAAUACAUGCAAGUCGAGCGAACAGACGAGGAGCUUGCUCCUCUGACGUUAGCGGCGGACGGGUGAGUAACACGUGGAUAACCUACCUAUAAGACUGGGAUAACUUCGGGAAACCGGAGCUAAUACCGGAUAAUAUAUUGAACCGCAUGGUUCAAUAGUGAAAGACGGUUUUGCUGUCACUUAUAGAUGGAUCCGCGCCGCAUUAGCUAGUUGGUAAGGUAACGGCUUACCAAGGCAACGAUGCGUAGCCGACCUGAGAGGGGGAUCGGCCACACGAGAGCUGAGCCACGGUCCAGAGUCCUACGGGAGGCAGCAGUAGGGAAUCUUCGGCAACAGGCGAAAGCCUUACGGAGCAACGCCACGUGAGUGAUGAAGGUCUUCGGAUCGUAAAACUCUGUUAUUAGGGAAGAACAAAUGUGUAAGUAACUAUGCACGUCUUGACGGUACCUAAUCAGAAAGCCACGGCUAACUACGUG